AAUGUGGUUAAAAAGGCAGGAAUUCAUUUAAAAGGUUAUGAUAACAAGGUUAAAAUCAGUGUAAAAUAUAUUAGAUGUUUAUUGUUUUAUUUAAAAGAUAAUGAUCUGAAAAUUGUCUAAACCAGCAUUUAUGGGGUUAACAGCGAGUGGCCGGAGCGUCAGGUCUCAGAUGUUUCUACACGGACAAGAGAGAGAGAGGACAGGCUGAGGAGUAAAAUAAAGAGUGAACGUGACCCAGAGAUUUUCUGAGUGAACUUGUGAGUUAGAUGUGCAUAAACCAGUGAGUAACUUGUGUCUUACGAUUGUCUGCACGACCACCAGUGAAAAGAGUGACAAGCUGCAUACUGAGAAACGGGAGAAAUUUCUACACGAACUUCAGAGACUGUUUACGUUUGUGCUACGUUACUGCUAACGCUUAGACACCUGGAAGUAUAGACCCGAGUCAGUUCACUACAAGUGAACGGACAUGUUCUAGUGAAAGUUUGACUGGUUUAUCUGCUGCUUUCGGCCUGAAGACAGAGGAGAGACCCUGGCAGAGCUUGGAGCGACCAGGACUGCGCUUGUGAUUCUUCUAGCAACGUGUGAGGAGAAGAGAGAAACCAGCGGAGUCCCUGUUGAAAUGCUGAUCUGUGACUGAGCCUGCACCUGUGACUGUUGGAGGAAAGACGGGACAGUAACAUUGACUCAGAUUUGUGAUGGUGAAAUCAUCCAGGCUUCCCUGCAGGGCAGACUCAGCAGACAUGAGCCAGCAGUCCAGAGUCGGGGUAGACACAAUACUGAAAUCAUCAGCGGUGGACCUACAAGAUAAAGACACAGAUCUUUGGGCUGUGGAACAAUAAAACAAGACAUUGGAGGACCUCAUCGUGGGAUUUGUGAAAACUCUGAUGGACAUCUUUUCACAGUUCUUUGACAUUUUAUGGGGCAAAUAUCUAUUGAUUAAUCAAGAAGCUCAUCUAUAGAUUAAAGCAUCAUUAUUGAUGAUAUACUGUUUUGUAGCAGGGAGAGUGCUGUCUCUGUCAGCCCCUGGGUGUGUAGCAUCUCCCAGAUGAAGCACAUUUUGCUUUAUGGCACUAUGACACAAUACCAACUAUGCCUGCAAAUAUUUUUUUAUUUAAUAUUUUCUUUUUUUCUGGUUUUCCCUCUGAUGCUUUGAUUGACAAUGAAAAUAAUUAUUGGAUGCAGGCCUAAAAUUUAGCUUAUGUAAACAUUAUGUAAAUACUUUUAAUAUGUUUUUUAGAUUAUUUAAUGUAUUUUAUUCUACCUGACUUUCUUUGUGUCUGUGUGACUAACAUCCUGACUUGUGUACUUAACAUGCCGACUUGUUCUUUUUUUAAUUGCCCCCCAUGAACAAAUGAAGUAUUUUGAAUUAAACUGAA